rnacentral:rRNA from 1 species
GAUGAACGCUGGCGGCGUGCCUAAUACAUGCAAGUCGAGCGAACAGACGAGGAGCUUGCUCCUCUGACGUUAGCGGCGGACGGGUGAGUAACACGUGGAUAACCUACCUAUAAGACUGGGAUAACUUCGGGAAACCGGAGCUAAUACCGGAUAAUAUAUUGAACCGCAUGGUUCAAUAGUGAAAGACGGUUUUGCUGGCACUUAUAGCUGGAUACGCGCCGCAUUAGCUUGUUGGUGAGUUAACGGCUUAGCAAGGCGACGAUGCGUAGCCGAGCUGAGAGGGUGAUCGCCCACACUGGAACUGAGCCACGGUCCAGACUACUACGGGAGGCAGCAGUCGGGAAUGUUACGCAAUGGGGGAAAGCCUGACGGAGCAACGCCGAGUGAGUGAUGAAGGUCUUCGGAUCGUAAAGCUCUGUUAUUAGGGAAGAACAACUGUGUAAGUAACUAUGGCCGUCUUGACGGUACCUAAUCAGGAAGCAACGGCUAACUACGUG